rnacentral:rRNA from 1 species
AUAAUGCAGUCGAGCGGACAGAAGGGAGCUUGCUCCCGGAUGUUAGCGGCGGACGGGUGAGUAACACGUGGGUAACCUGCCUGUAAGACUGGGAUAACUCCGGGAAACCGGAGCUAAUACCGGAUAGUUCCUUGAACCGCAUGGUUCAAGGAUGAAAGACGGUUUCGGCUGUCACUUACAGAUGGACCCGCGGCGCAUUAGCUAGUUGGUGGGGUAAUGGCUCACCAAGGCGACGAUGCGUAGCCGACCUGAGAGGGUGAUCGGCCACACUGGGACUGAGACACGGCCCAGACUCCUACGGGAGGCAGCAGUAGGGAAUCUUCCGCAAUGGACGAAAGUCUGACGGAGCAACGCCGCGUGAGUGAUGAAGGUUUUCGGAUCGUAAAGCUCUGUUGUUAGGGAAGAACAAGUGCGAGAGUAACUGCUCGCACCUUGACGGUACCUAACCAGAAAGCCACGGCUAACUACGUGCCAGCAGCCGCGGUAAUACGUAGGUGGCAAGCGUUGUCCGGAAUUAUUGGGCGUAAAGGGCUCGCAGGCGGUUUCUUAAGUCUGAUGUGAAAGCCCCCGGCUCAACCGGGGAGGGUCAUUGGAAACUGGGAAACUUGAGUGCAGAAGAGGAGAGUGGAAUUCCACGUGUAGCGGUGAAAUGCGUAGAGAUGUGGAGGAACACCAGUGGCGAAGGCGACUCUCUGGUCUGUAACUGACGCUGAGGAGCGAAAGCGUGGGGAGCGAACAGGAUUAGAUACCCUGGUAGUCCACGCCCGUAACGAUGAGUGCUAAGUGUUAGGGGUUUCCGCCCCCUUUAGUGCUGCAGCUACGCAUUAAGCACUCCGCCUGGGGAGUACGUCGCAGAACUGGAACUCAAAGGAUUGACGGGGGCCCGCAC